CUUGACCACCCAGGAGCUUGGCUGCGCCUGCUGCAGUCUGCGUUUCUGAUAAAUUGAAACCAGUUUUAAUUCUUCUGCCCGGGAGACCUAACCGCCGAAUGCGUUCGGAGCUGUACUGGAACCCAAGGAGAUGUUCACAAGGAAGAUGGAAAGUAAGCUGUGUAACAUCAGCAUUGGGAGCAAGAGCCACAAACCUCAUUUUCAAGUUGGGAAGAAACUCAGGACCCGAGAAGCUACAGGAUUCAGCCCAGUCACAGAGCUUGGUGUGUAUUUGUUCAUUCGCGCACUGCUAUAAAGAAAUACCUGAGACUGGGUAAUUUAUAAAGAAAAGAAGUUAAUUGACUCAGUUCUGCAGGCAAUACAGGAAGCAAGAUGCUGUCAUCCGCUUGGCUUCAGGUCUCCAGCUCACUGAAAACAGCCUCCCCUGAUGAGCACACCAUUGUUAUGUAAUAGCCUAACCCUUACCCCUCGCCUAUCAGGGGGUGCCAAGCCUGCAGACUCACUCUGCUUUCCUCAUAACUGCCCUGAGGAGAAGGCUGAAGACUGAGGAAUCCUCUUUCUGCCUC
rnacentral:lncRNA from 10 species